rnacentral:rRNA from 1 species
CCUUCGGGGGCAGCGGCGGACGGGUGAGUAACGCGUGGGAACGUGCCCUUUGGUACGGAACAACUGAGGGAAACUUCAGCUAAUACCGUAUGUGCCCUUCGGGGGAAAGAUUUAUCGCCAUUGGAGCGGCCCGCGUUAGAUUAGCUAGUUGGUAGGGUAAUGGCCUACCAAGGCGACGAUCUAUAGCUGGUCUGAGAGGAUGAUCAGCCACACUGGGACUGAGACACGGCCCAGACUCCUACGGGAGGCAGCAGUAGGGAAUCUUGCGCAAUGGGCGAAAGCCUGACGCAGCCAUGCCGCGUGAAUGAUGAAGGUCUUAGGAUUGUAAAAUUCUUUCACCGGGGACGAUAAUGACGGUACCCGGAGAAGAAGCCCCGGCUAACUUCGUGCCAGCAGCCGCGGUAAUACGAAGGGGGCUAGCGUUGCUCGGAAUUACUGGGCGUAAAGGGAGCGUAGGCGGAUAGUUUAGUCAGAGGUGAAAGCCCAGGGCUCAACCUUGGAAUUGCCUUUGAUACUGGCUAUCUUGAGUAUGGAAGAGGUAUGUGGAACUCCGAGUGUAGAGGUGAAAUU